rnacentral:rRNA from 1 species
GAUCCUGGCUCAGGAUGGACGCUGGCGGCGUGCUUAACACAUGCAAGUCGAACGAAGCGCUUAAAUGGAUUUCUUCGGAUUGAAGUUUUUGUGACUGAGUGGCGGACGGGUGAGUAACGCGUGGGUAACCUGCCUCAUACAGGGGGAUAACAGUUAGAAAUGACUGCUAAUACCGCAUAAGCGCACAGUGCUGCAUGGCACAGUGUGAAAAACUCCGGUGGUAUGAGAUGGACCCG